AAAUAGAGCCACGUUUCGGUCAUCAUGAAGUUGAUUUUCGGUGGCAGCAUAAUUGUAGGCGAAUGGGUCUGGCCCUGGUUUUACUCCAACAUAUACAGGCUUUCCCUUGUGUCCAGUGUUAACAGUUACUCCACCUUUGCCAACACUUACAUUUGUUCUCUUCCCAGGCUUUCCAGUGUUAACACCAACGCCUCUACCUCCCACAUUAACAGUAGUACCCGGUUUUCCUUUCCCUGUGUUUACAUUUACUCCACCCUUCCCAACGUUUACAGAAGUGCCGCUGGGUUUUCCUUUUCCUGAAUUAAC
rnacentral:lncRNA from 1 species